rnacentral:rRNA from 1 species
GAUAAACGCUGGCGGCGUGCAUGAGACAUGCAAGUCGAACGAACGACCCGGGCUUGCCUGGGAAGUUAGUGGCGAACGGCUGAGUAACGCGUAGGUGACCUGCCCGGAAGUGGGGAAUAACUGCCCGAAAGGGUGGCUAAUACCGCAUGUGGCCACACGUUCAUCCGUGUGCCCAAAGCCGCAAGGCGCUUCCGGAGGGGCCUGCGUUCGAUUAGCUCGUUGGUGGGGUAACGGCUCACCAAGGCGACGAUCGAUAGGUGGUCUGAGAGGAUGAUCACCAAGACUGGGACUGAGACACGGCCCAGACUCCUGCGGGAGGCAGCAGUAGGGAAUCUUCCGCAAUGGACGAAAGUCUGACGGAGCAACGCCGCGUGAGCGAAGAAGGCCUUCGGGUCGUAAAGCUCUGUUGUCAGGGAAGAACAAGUACCGGAGUAACUGCCGGUACCUUGACGGUACCUGACCAGAAAGCCACGGCUAAC